GAUGAAGAACGCAGCGAAAUGCGAUACGUAAUGUGAAUUGCAGAAUUCAGUGAAUCAUCGAAUCUUUGAACGCAUAUUGCGCUCUCUGGUAUUCCGGAGAGCAUGCUUGUUUGAGUAUCAGUAAACACCUCAACUUCCAUAUCUUUUUUUGAAAUGGGAGUUGGACUUGAGUGAUCCCAACGCUUUUCCUCACCGAAAAGUGGCGGGUUACUUGAAAUGCAGGUGCAGCUGGACUUUUCUCUGAGCUAUAAGCAUAUCUAUUUAGUCUGCCUAAAGAACAGAUUAUUACCUUUGCUGCAGCUAACAUAAAGGAGAUUAGUUCUUGUGCUGACUGAUGCAGGAUUCACAAAGACAGCUUCGGCCGACUUUGUAAACUCGAUCUCAAAUCAAGUAAGACUACCCGCUGAACUUAAGCAUAUCAAUAAGCGGAGGA
rnacentral:misc_RNA from 1 species